rnacentral:rRNA from 1 species
GACGAACGCUGGCGGCGUGCCUAAUACAUGCAAGUAGAACGCACAGUUUAUACCGUAGCUUGCUACACCAUAGACUGUGAGUUGCGAACGGGUGAGUAACGCGUAGGUAACCUGCCUGGUAGCGGAGGAUAACUAUUGGAAACGAUAGCUAAUACCGCAUAAUAUUGAUUAUUGCAUGAUAAUUGAUUGAAAGAUGCUAUUGCAUCACUACCAGAUGGACCUGCGUUGUAUUAGCUAGUAGGUGAGGUAACGGCUCACCUAGGCGACGAUACAUAGCCGACCUGAGAGGGUGAUCGGCCACACUGGGACUGAGACACGGCCCAGACUCCUACGGGAGGCAGCAGUAGGGAAUCUUCGGCAAUGGACGAAAGGCUGACCGAGCAACGCCGCGUGAGUGAAGAAGGUUUUCGGAUCGUAAAGCUCUGUUGUAAGAGAAGAACGGGUGUGAGAGUGGAAAGUUCACACUGUGACGGUAUCUUACCAGAAAGGGACGGCUAACUACGUG